UACGUAGGGCGCAAGCGUUGUCCGGAAUUAUUGGGCGUAAAGAGCUCGUAGGCGGCUUGUCGCGUCGAAUGUGAAAACUCGGGGCUCAACUCCGAGCUUGCAUUCGAUACGGGCAGGCUAGAGUUCGGUAGGGGAGACUGGAAUUCCUGGUGUAGCGGUGAAAUGCGCAGAUAUCAGGAGGAACACCGGUGGCGAAGGCAGCCUCCUGGGCCAACACUGACGCUCAUGCACGAAAGCGUGGGGAGCAAACAGG
rnacentral:rRNA from 1 species